rnacentral:misc_RNA from 1 species
GAUGAAGAACGCAGCGAAAUGCGAUAAGUAAUGUGAAUUGCAGAAUUCAGUGAAUCAUCGAAUCUUUGAACGCACAUUGCGCCCCCUGGUAUUCCGGGGGGCAUGCCUGUCCGAGCGUCAUUACAACCCUCAAGCUCAGCUUGGUGUUGGGCCCCGCCGCCCCGGCGGGCCCUAAAGUCAGUGGCGGUGCCGUCCGGCUCCGAGCGUAGUAAUUCUUCUCGCUCUGGAGGCCCGGUCGUGUGCUCGCCAGCAACCCCCAAUUUUUUUCAGGUUGACCUCGGAUCAGGUAGGGAUACCCGCUGAACUUAAGCAUAUCAAAAGCGGAGA